CUCCUACGGGAGGCAGCAGUGGGGAAUAUUGCACAAUGGGCGCAAGCCUGAUGCAGCAACGCCGUGUGAGUGAAGAAGGUUUCGGAUCGUAAAACUCUGUCCUAAGGGAAGAAACAAAUGACGGUACCUUAGGAGGAAGCCCCGGCUAACUACGUGCCAGCAGCCGCGGUAAUACGUAGGGGGCAAGCGUUAUCCGGAAUCACUGGGCGUAAAGGGUGCGUAGGCGGCUUAGCAAGCCAGGGGUGAAAGGCAUUGGCUCAACCAAUGUAAGCCUUUGGAACUGUUAAGCUUGAGUGCAGGAGAGGUAAGUGGAAUUCCUAGUGUAGAGGUGAAAUUCGUAGAUAUUAGGAGGAACACCAGUGGCGAAGGCGACUUACUGGACUGUAACUGACGCUGAUGCACGAAAGCGUGGGUAGCGAACAGGAUUAGAUACCCUGGUAG
rnacentral:rRNA from 1 species